GUCAGAUAUGGGUGGUGACAAUCCUGAAAUGGAUGAAUGACAAAAAUUACAUCUUUAGAAAAAGAGUUGUUAGAAAAAAGCCUUGGCUGCAUGUGGGGGAAGUGACAGCACAGAAGAGACCAGAGAAGAGCCUCCUGGAGGAGAGCCUGCACUUUGACCAUGCUGUCCGGAUGGGUGCAGUGCUCUUUUCUGCAAAGUGUUCACUUCUCUGCUUUUUCUGUGGUCCCAUUUCAUAGAAAGAUUUGGGGUGAUGUUUCUUUCCCUCAACUUUUAUUUUGAAAACUUGCAAACACAGAAAAGUUGAUAAAAUCAUACAGUGAACAUCUGUAUGCUAUUCAACUGGA